rnacentral:rRNA from 1 species
GGAUCAAUCUAUCGGUCGUGCUAUUGUACGCACUGAUUUUAUUGAUUCCUCCCUUCUGAUGAACUAUGAUGUCAUUAAUUUGGUGUCAUAGGGAAUCAGGACUGUUACUUUGAAAAAUUAGAGUGUUUAAAGCAGGCUCACGCUUGAAUACAUUAGCAUGGAAUAACGAAAUAGGACGUUUGAUUCUAUUUUGUUGGUUUCUAGGAUCGACGUAAUGAUU